CAGGACUUCACCGCUGACCUUCAGCCUGUGACAUCCCAACUGGGCACACUGUUGUGAUCAUGGAGCAGAUGGUGUGCUCGUUUGGAUGUGGCAGUUUGCGAGGGAUGGGCAUCCCAUGAUC
rnacentral:precursor_RNA from 15 species